rnacentral:rRNA from 1 species
UACAGAGGUCUCAAGCGUUGUUCGGAUUCAUUGGGCGUAAAGGGUGCGUAGGCGGCGCGGUAAGUCGGGUGUGAAAUCUUGGAGCUUAACUCCGAAACUGCAUUCGAUACUGCCGUGCUUGAGGACUGGAGAGGAGACUGGAAUUUACGGUGUAGCGGUGAAAUGCGUAGAUAUCGUAAGGAAGACCAGUGGCGAAGGCGGGUCUCUGGACAGUUCCUGACGCUGAGGCACGAAGGCCUGGGGAGCAAACGGG